rnacentral:rRNA from 1 species
UACGUAGGGUGCAAGCGUUUAAUCGGAAUUACUGGGCGUAAAGCGUGCGCAGGCGGUUGUGCAAGACCGAUGUGAAAUCCCCGGGCUUAACCUGGGAAUGGCAUUGGUGACUGCACGGCUAGGAGUGUGUCAGAGGGGGGUAGAAUUCCACGUGUAGCAGUGAAAUGCGUAGAGAUGUGGACGGAAUACCGAUGGCGAAGGCAGCCCCCUGGGAUAACACUGACGCUCAUGGCACGAAAGCGUGGGGAGCAAACAGG